rnacentral:rRNA from 1 species
UACGGAGGGGGUUAGCGUUGUUCGGAAUGACUGGGCGUAAAGCGCGCGUAGGCGGACCAUCAAGUCGGGGGUGAAAACCCGGGGCUCAACUCCGGGCCUGCAGCCGAUACGGGCAGACUAGAGUUCGGCAGGGGAGACUGGAAUUCCUGGUGUAGCGGUGAAAUGCGCAGAUAUCAGGAGGAACACCGGUGGCGAAGGCGGGUCUCUGGGCCGAUACUGACGCUGAGGAGCGAAAGCGUGGGGAGCGAACAGG